AGCGAACGCUGGCGGCAGGCCUAACACAUGCAAGUCGGACGAACCCUUCGGGGUUAGUGGCGGACGGGUGAGUAACACGUGGGAACGUGCCUUUAGGUUCGGAAUAACUCAGGGAAACUUGUGCUAAUACCGAAUGUGCCCUUCGGGGGAAAGAUUUAUCGCCUUUAGAGCGGCCCGCGUCUGAUUAGCUAGUUGGUGAGGUAAUGGCUCACCAAGGCUACGAUCAGUAGCUGGUCUGAGAGGAUGACCAGCCACAUUGGGACUGAGACACGGCCCAAACUCCUACGGGAGGCAGCAGUGGGGAAUCUUGCGCAAUGGGCGAAAGCCUGACGCAGCCAUGCCGCGUGGAUGAUGAAGGUCUUAGGAUUGCAAAAUCCUUUCACCGGUGAAGAUAAUGACUGUAGCCGGAGAAGAAGCCCCGGCUAACUUCGUGCCAGCCGCCGCAGUAAAAC
rnacentral:rRNA from 1 species